rnacentral:rRNA from 1 species
AGAUUGAACGCUGGCGGCAGGCCUAACACAUGCAAGUCGAGCGGCAGCACGGGUACUUGUACCUGGUGGCGAGCGGCGGACGGGUGAGUAAUGCCUAGGAAUCUGCCUGAUAGUGGGGGAUAACGCUCGGAAACGGACGCUAAUACCGCAUGCGCCCUUCGGGGGAAAGCCGGGGACCAGCAAUGGCCUGGCGCUGAUAGAUGAGCCGAUGUCGGAUUAGCUAGCUGGUGAGGUAAUGGCUCACCAAGGCGACGAUCCGUAGCUGGUCUGAGAGGAUGAUCAGCCACACUGGAACUGAGACACGGUCCAGACUCCGUACGGGAGCAGCAGUGGGGAAUAGUUGGACAAGUGGGCGCAAG